rnacentral:lncRNA from 1 species
CCAGUUCUGCAUGUCUUUCUUCUCUCCCUCUGUCUUUAGCUCCUUCAUUCUAUCCCUCCUUGGAAGAUGAAUAGUCACUUUGUAAACUGAAUUCCAUUUUUCUGGGCUCCGUUUUGCAGGGAGACGGCAUAGCAUGGCACCGACGUUGCCGCCAGGCUGCGCGGAGUCAAAUUCUUCACCACAUGCUGACUGUGUGGGCUUAAACUCUUAGUGUCUCAGUUCCUUGACAGCAAAGGAGUGGGACUGAGCAGUGUGAAAAUGGACCAAUACAAGUCCCAGCCAUCAUCUGAUCUAUUCUGAGGGAUCGGGGUUUCCUGAGGGAUUGGGAGAUUCCUGAUGUUUUCACCAAGAGACUUGUUUCCAUCACUGUAAAAUGGGGUUGAUGAUCCCUAUCAGGAAAUCAUAAGCCCUGAAUGAAAUGAGUUCUGCUAAGAUUUUUGGAACCUGAGAAACACCAUACAAUGUAAGAUGCUUACACAUCGUCUGGCCAAGAAUUCUUUUUUGACUUUAGUGCAACAGUAAAGGACUCCAGCCAGGCGUGGUGGCUCAUGUCUGUAAUCCCAGCACUUUGGGAGGCCGAGGCAGGCAGAUCAUGAGGUCAGGAAUUCCAGACCAGCAUAGCCAACAUGGUGAAACCCCAUCUCUACUAAAAAUACAAAAAUUAGCCAGGCACAGUGGUGUGUACCUGUAAUCCCAGCUACUCAGGAGGCUAAGGCAAGAGAAUCACUUGAACCUGGGAAGCAGAGGUUGCAGUGAGCCGAGAUCGCAUCACUGCACUCUAGCCUGGGCAACAGAGUGAGACACUGUCUAAAAAAAAAAAAAAAAAAAAAAAAUGAAGAACUCCCGACUGAAAU